GAUGAAGAACGUAGCGAAAUGCGAUAAGUAAUGUGAAUUGCAGAAUUCAGUGAAUCAUCGAAUCUUUGAACGCACAUUGCGCCCGCCAGUAUUCUGGCGGGCAUGCCUGUUCGAGCGUCAUUACAACCCUCAGGCCCCCGGGCCUGGCGUUGGGGAUCGGCGGAAGCCCCCUGCGGGCACAACGCCGUCCCCCAAAUACAGUGGCGGUCCCGCCGCAGCUUCCAUUGCGUAGUAGCUAACACCUCGCAACUGGAGAGCGGCGCGGCCACGCCGUAAAACACCCAACUUCUGAAUGUUGACCUCGAAUCAGGUAGGAAUACCCGCUGAACUUAAGCAUAUCAAUAAGCGGAGG
rnacentral:misc_RNA from 1 species